rnacentral:rRNA from 1 species
CCUACGGGGGGCAGCAGUGGGGAAUAUUGGGCAAUGGAGGCAACUCUGACCCAGCAACGCCGCGUGAAUGAUGAAGGUCUUCGGAUUGUAAAGUUCUUUUCUAAGGGAAGAAGAAAGUGACGGUACCUUAGGAAUAAGCCUCGGCUAACUACGUGCCAGCAGCCGCGGUAAUACGUAGGAGGCAAGCGUUAUCCGGAAUGACUGGGCGUAAAGGGUGCGUAGGUGGUUUGACAAGUUAGUAGCGCAACUCCGGAGCUCAACUUCGGAACUACUACUAAAACUGUUGGACUUGAGUGCAGGAGGGGCAAUCGGAAUUCCUAGUGUAGCGGUGGAAUGCGUAGAUAUUAGGAGGAACACCGGCGGCGAAGGCGGCCUGCUGGACCGCGACUGACGUUGAGGCUCGAAAGCGUGGGGAGCGAACAGGAUUAGAUACCCUAGUAGUC